CCCCAAAUUAGAAGAGCUCAACCACCACAAGCCAUGCAGCAUGCUCUGAGGAUGCCUCAUCCUGAAAGUACAGGCUCAGCACACACUUGGGGAGGUCGACACAUUUCGCAAGUAGAAAAAAUGUAAACUCUAUGAGAGCAGGGUCUUGACUGGUUUGCCACCAUAUCCACAGAACCUAGGACAAGGAGUACCUGGUGAUGAAUGAAUGCCUUCCUGGCAGGUUUUUAUGUUCCUUAAGAAGUUGCUCCACGCGUAUCACACUGUCUCCGAUGUCUGUAAACUCCGCUUGCUCUGCCAGCAAAUUGUCCAGGGCAAGCUUAACCUGUAAGGCACAUUGGAACAUCCAGAAAUAAGCCCCGAGCACCUCUCUGGAGGUAUAGGAUACCCUCAGAACUAGGCAGAAAAUUCACUUCGGAUGCAGCCGCUGUGCUUUGAAAUGUGCCCCCAGGAAAUGGAAGCUCUUCUUGGAGAAGGACCCAAUAUGCAGAAGAGCCUGGGACACCUGCAUGCACAUGUUCUGAAGAUGUGCUCUGAGUCUCCAUCCAUGUGUAAGAAGCAUACACAGGAACAAGAUGGGUGUGCUAACAAUGAAUCAUGGAACACUACAUCAAAAACCUAAUGAUGUGGGCGCCUGGGUGGCUCAGUUGGU